CAAUAGCGUAUAUUAAAGUUGUUGUGGUUAAAAAGCUCGUAGUUGAACCUGGGCCUCGCGCAGACCGGUCCGCCUCACCGCGUGCACUGGUCCUGCCGGGGCUUUCACUAGGGGAUUCGCAUGUCCUUCACUGGGCGUGCGCGGAACCUGGACUUUUACUGUGAAAAAAUUAGAGUGUUCAAAGCAGGCCUAUGCUCGAAUACAUUAGCAUGGAAUAAUAGAAUAGGACGCGUGGUUCUAUUUUGUUGGUUAUGGGACCGCCGUAAUGAUUAAUAGGGACAGUCGGGGGCAUCAGUAUUCAAUUGUCAGAGGUGAAAUUCUUGGAUUUAUUGAAGACUAACUACUGCGAAAGCAUUUGCCAAGGAUGUUUUCAUUAA
rnacentral:rRNA from 1 species